rnacentral:misc_RNA from 1 species
CAAAAUCGUUGGGAAGGGGGGGGUUAGUUGGUGGGUUAGUUGGGUAGAUUGGUUAGUUUUUCCGAAUCUCUAAGUUGGUUAGGUUUUACUGAACCUCUAAGUUGGCUAGGUUUUGCUAAUCUCUAUUUACUUGCUGUCGCCGCACUCUCACCCUUAACACACAUUUGCGCUUGUAUUGUUUGACAUAGUAAAUUUCAAUUUUAUUAAUGA